GGCAGACACAGAUCUAAUUGCUCUAUUCAGUCUGAAACCACAACUGGACUUUGUUACCUCCUGGGGAACCAUAGAAAUGUUUUUCUCGGCUUGAAAUUUCUUUGGUUGCUUGUCAGCAGCAUACACAAAGCAAUCUCUUCAGGAGAUCCUGGGCCAGGGCGGAUCACAGCCCAGGAGCUGUCAGAGAUCCACUUUCUGCUGAAGACUCCAUCUCUCUGGAGGCCUGUUUCCCUGGUGUGCUGUUUUAGGAGCGAGCUAAGUGGUGGCUGAAGAGCCAAGUCUCACAAGUCAGACGGGCUGGAGGUCCUAGCUGCAGACAAGAGGAUCCACUCUG
rnacentral:lncRNA from 1 species